AUUCCGAGCUGUUCUUUUGGUACUGGUUCUUUACUGACCGCUAGAUGCCACUGACUUCAAUUGAUUUUGUCAUUGAGUACAGACUGCAUCAUAAAACAUGGCGAAACAAAUUGUUGCUAUUUUAUACUUAUUUUUCUGUGAUUCCAAAUACCGAAUUGAACUUCGUUUGUGUAGGGUUAUAUUGACCUAGUUUCCCUAUUUUGAUACGUAUAUUACAUCCAUUUCUUCAAAUCAUAGAAAGUCUGUCAGUCAUUCCAACAAGUUGACUUAGUGCUCAGUCGCUUUCCAUCCAUUGGAUCCUUAUGCUGUCAAAAGCCUGAAACUCACAUUUGAAGCCCACAUACAGUGCAACUAGACAAAUGUGCCAAGAUAAGGUAUUCUUUCUCAUGGACCAUAGGAUCUUUUCCGAAUCUUGUGAUUUUGAUAGUGUAACCUGUGACUGCAUAUUUGUUAUUACGACCGCUUCUACAUCCAUUUAGAAGGCAACCCAGCUGAGAGAUAGAGUUCCAGUUUCAGUGACAUGAAGAGUGUGAAGUGAAUAGUCUGCCAUGCACUUGUACAUUUACCAGAUCUGCUUGAUGAAAGUGAAAUGCCUUACUAAAUUCAUCACCCGUAUGAUAAGCAUCAGGAAAUUUAUCUCAACAUAUGGAUUAUUGCUGUUGGUUGCUAUGGAUUCCAAUUUUACGGUUUUUUCAUCAUGAACAUUUCAGUGUGCUUCUUAGAAAAAAGCUCGCGCAGUUUCUUUAUGGUAUCGAGUGGUCCUGGCACGG